rnacentral:rRNA from 1 species
AUUGAACGCUGGCGGCAUGCCUUACACAUGCAAGUCGAACGGCAGCAUGAUCUAGCUUGCUAGAUUGAUGGCGAGUGGCGAACGGGUGAGUAAUACAUCGGAACGUGCCCUGUAGUGGGGGAUAACUAGUCGAAAGAUUAGCUAAUACCGCAUACGACCUGAGGGUGAAAGUGGGGGACCGCAAGGCCUCAUGCUAUAGGAGCGGCCGAUGUCUGAUUAGCUAGUUGGUGAGGUAAAGGCUCACCAAGGCGGCGAUCAGUAGCUGGUCUGAGAGGACGAUCAGCCACUCUGUGACUGAGGCACGGCCCAGACUCCUACGGGAGGCAGCAGUGGGGAAUUUUGGACAAUGGGGGCAACCCUGAUCCAGCAAUGCCGCGUGUGUGAAGAAGGCCUUCGUGUUGUAAAGCACUUUUGUCCGGAAAGAAAUCGCACUUACUAAUAUUAGGUGUGGAUGACGGUACCGGAAGAAUAAGGACCGGCUAACUACGUGCCAGCCGCCGCGGUAACAC